GACGAACGCUGGCGGCGUGCUUAACACAUGCAAGUCGAACGGUGAAGCGCCUUCCUUUUUGGUGGGUGUGGAUGAGUGGCGAACGGGUGAGUAACACGUGAGUAACCUGCCCCCUUCUUCUGGAUAACCGCAUGAAAGUGUGGCUAAUACGGGAUAUUCUGGGUCUGUCGCAUGAUGGGUCUGGGAAAGAUAUUGUUUCGGUGGGGGAUGGGCUCGCGGCCUAUCAGCUUGUUGGUGGGGUGAUGGCCUACCAAGGCGGUGACGGGUAGCCGGCCUGAGAGGGUGGACGGUCACACUGGGAAUGAGACACGGCCCAGACUCCUACGGGAGGCAGCAGUGGGGAAUAUUGCACAAUGGGCGCAAGCCUGAUGCAGCGACGCCGCGGGAGGGAUGGAGGCCUUCGGGUUGUGAACCUCUUUCGCCAGUGAAGCAGGCCUGCCUCGUUUGUGGGUGGGUUGACGGUAGCUGGAUAAGAAGCGCCGGCUAACUACGUG
rnacentral:rRNA from 1 species